UCCCUGGCAGUCCAGUAGUUAAGACUCUGCACUUCCAAUGCAAAGGCCUCAGGUUCAAUCCCCGGUCAGGGAA
rfam:Ovis aries breed Texel chromosome 14, whole genome shotgun sequence.